GGGGAUUUAGCUCAGUGGCAUAAGCACCUGCCUUGCAAGCAGGUGGUGAUGAGUUGGAUCCCUG
rfam:Cavia porcellus supercont2_12 genomic scaffold, whole genome shotgun sequence.